CAGCAGCCGCGGUAAUACGAAGGGGGCUAGCGUUGCUCGGAAUCACUGGGCGUAAAGGGUGCGUAGGCGGGUCUUUAAGUCAGAGGUGAAAUCCUGGAGCUCAACUCCAGAACUGCCUUUGAUACUGGAGAUCUCGAGUUCGGGAGAGGUGAGUGGAACUGCGAGUGUAGAGGUGAAAUUCGUAGAUAUUCGCAAGAACACCAGUGGCGAAGGCGGCUCACUGGCCCGAUACUGACGCUGAGGCACGAAAGCGUGGGGAGCAAACAGGAUUAGAUACCCGGGUAGUCCCUGUCUCUUAUAC
rnacentral:rRNA from 1 species